rnacentral:rRNA from 1 species
ACUAGGAUUAGAUACCCUAUUAUUUAAAAUGUAACUUCAUUCACUAAGGUAGUAGUAGUUAUGUUCUUGAAACUUAAAAAAUUUGGCGGUAUUUUAGUCUAUUCAGAGGAACCUGUCCUGUAAUUGAUAAUCCACGAUGAACCUCACUUAAAUUUGUUUUUCAGUUUAUAUACCGUCGUUAUCAGAAUAUUUUAUUAGAAUAAUAAUUUUCUAUAAUUUUUAUAAGAAUUUAUAUCAGAUCAAGGUGUAGCUUAUGUUUAAGUAGAGAUGGGUUACAAUAAAUUUAUUUAAACGGAUCUAAUUUUGAAAUGUUUGGUGAAGGUGGAUUUGAUAGUAAAAUUUUAAAGAUUGUUAAUUUGAUUUUAGCUCUAGAAUAUGCACACAUCGCCCGUCGCUCUUGCUAUUAAGGUAAGAUAAGUCGUAACAUAGUA